CAGAGAGUCGAGAGAAGAUUGAAAAUGUACAAAGCAAAUUGAAAUGGACUAAUUUUCCAGGACUUCAGCAGCUCUUCCUUAAGGGUUUUACCUCAGCAUCUACACAAGAAAUGACCGUGCACCUCCUCAGUAAACUCAUUUCUGUCUCCAAACAUACAUUGGUGGAUCCUUCCCAAUUGUCAGGUUUGUGCAGAAGAAAAAUGCCCAACACUUGUCAAUCUGGCACACAUGAUGAGUUUGUACAGUACACACACGUAUUCCAGAGACUGUUCUAACUGGAUCAAUGUCGUGUGCAGAUACCUGCAUGACUCCUUCUCAGAUACAACAUUUAAUCUUGUGACUUAUCUUGCAGAGCUGUUAGAGAAAGGAUUGUCCAGUAUGCAGCAAUCAUUACUACAGAUUAUUUAUAGUCUAUUGAGUCAUAUUGACCUGUCUGCAGCCCCAGCCAAGCAGUUUAAUCUGGAGAUCAUAAAGAUUAUUGGCAAAUAUGUACAGAGUCCUUACUGGAAGGAAGCCCUUAACAUAUUAAAGCUGGUGGUGUCACGCUC
rnacentral:lncRNA from 1 species